rnacentral:rRNA from 1 species
UGGGGAAUAUUGCACAAUGGGCGCAAGCCUGAUGCAGCCAUGCCGCGUGUGUGAAGAAGGCCUUCGGGUUGUAAAGCACUUUCAGCGAGGAGGAAGGUGGUGAGCUUAAUACGCUCAUCAAUUGACGUUACUCGCAGAAGAAGCACCGGCUAACUCCGUGCCAGCAGCCGCGGUAAUACGGAGGGUGCAAGCGUUAAUCGGAAUUACUGGGCGUAAAGCGCACGCAGGCGGUUUGUUAAGUCAGAUGUGAAAUCCCCGGGCUCAACCUGGGAACUGCAUUUGAAACUGGCAAGCUAGAGUCUCGUAGAGGGGGGUAGAAUUCCAGGUGUAGCGGUGAAAUGCGUAGAGAUCUGGAGGAAUACCGGUGGCGAAGGCGGCCCCCUGGACGAAGACUGACGCUCAGGUGCGAAAGCGUGGGGAGCAAACAGGAUUAGAUACCCCUGGUAGUCCACGCUGUAAAACGAUGUCGAUUUUGGAGGUUGUGCCCCUUGAGGCGUGGCUUCCGG